GCCGAAUGUUUGUGGCCUUAUCUGCUUAUACAAGUAUUAUGCACCGCAAAGAAUGAUCUGCUCGUUCAAAACUCUCAGUUGUCUUCCAGAUUCAAGCGCUACUUGUCCUUACAUGGGAUCCUUUAGAAUUGGUGGGCUGAAUUCUCGACAAAUCGGGGCCAUGAGAUGCGAGGGUGAAUACUUUUAUGCAUGCUGCAUUGUGGAGGUAGAGAAGACUGAAAAUGACUUCGCAUGAUAUGGAAUGAUUGAAAUGAAGAUCAAGGCCCACAAUUAGAAAUUUCCUCCUGCUUUUGGCUAUUAAGCUGCUUGCUCUGCAGUGCAUGGUAGCCCUUCUUAACCCAUCAAUGAACCCUAGAGAUUAUUUUUGGGUAGCAAUUUAUUUUUCUGUCAGGGAAGAGUCGUCACUGAGGGACUGUUUUGUGGGCUUCUCUGUUAAGUGAUGUGGUUGGUGGGGUGGCCACUUAUCAGCUCCUUCCUGCCUCCUGACUAGGUUAUGCUUCAAGUCUUUUCAAGCACAUGGCUCUUGCUUUAAGUCUUCUCACGAACAUGAUAUGGAUAUUCGUAAUCCAUGAGCAAUAGCCUAUAUCUUUUGCAAAUCAGUGAUGGAGCCUUGGGCAGCAGAUAUCAACACCAUUGCUUGUUUUUAUUUCCUUGGGGGUUUAAGUCACAAAAGGAUGCUCCCUUUUCCUAUUGUAGUUACAAAGGGAGGUGGAAGCGAUGUUGACCCAAGAGUCCAAAAGCAAUAAAGCAUGAGAAGAGGAAAAAGCUAAGUGGAAUGAAGAAUUACUCACAUGGUGUUUCCAUACUUGUACUGUACUGAGUCAUGCAUGAUUGAAUUAUUCCGGCUGGACAAACCCAUACAGGAAGAAUCCCUUCAUUCCUUUGAUUGGCCAUUGCCUGUAGGCCAAUGAUAACAACACAUAUCUGGGGACCCUCCCACUUGCAGAGCCUUAGAGCCACUAAAGAUUGGACACCUUCACCGGCCGAGGUCAAUUGGUAUCUCUCUUGUCCGAAUCUUAUGGGCCCUGAUCAUCACAAGACACAGUUAUUGAUUAUUCAAACAAGUAUCCUGCACUUUGUUGCUUAAUCAUAUGCCUGACAUGUUCGCUUGAUGAAUCAGAGCACAUAUACACAAUCUGUUUAUUGGUACUUUAACUGCUGAAAACUACCUAAUUAGCACCCUGCGUAAUUGAUCAAACCAAGAUGUGUUGCAUCUUUGAUUGGCCAGAUACCCAAGUUGUCAUUUGCGGCUAUCAUAUUCAAUCAUCUCUAGUUCGUUAUUUGCUAUCUGUAACAUUUACCAUCCUGGAGCCAGUGGUGUUUAAACAGCAUAUGCCUAAACAGUCCCUGAACCAGUUUAGUUCAGCCAAAUUCAAGGUAACUAAGAAAUCUGGGAUGAAGAGGUGUUUUCAUGAGAAGAAUCAUAUCCAAUGGAUUUUUGGAGGAUCAGUAUGCCCUGUCGAAUUACACACCAAGUAGAUGAAAGAAAUAUGGACAGGCCCGAGCAUGCAAAUUCCCACCUGUUAUUAUUAUCCGUUAUACUGGAAUCCAACUUCGAUAGUAUUUUUCAGAAUCCUCAUUCUCCAAUUGGCCUUCUAAAUAUCCUAAUCUAAUAAGAUAUAUUUGUACUUAUCAAGCAGAUAUCUGUGCUUCCUUGAUGACCAAUUGUCAAAACUAUCGGGUUCCUUCAUUUGCAUGUCAGGAAUGUGACCUUAUUGGCUAACGAUACUUUUUCUCUUGUUGUUUCCAGAAUAGUGAGGUACAAAUCCAAUAACAUUAGUGGUCUUUCUUUA